AGCAGCCGCGGUAAUUCCAGCUCCAAUAGCGUAUAUUAAAGUUGUUGCAGUUAAAAAGCUCGUAGUUGAAUUUCGGGAUCAAAUUGUCGGUCGUGCCUCGGUACGCACUGGCGUUAUUGGUUCCUCCCUUCUGAAGAACCGCGAUGUCAUUAAUUUGGUGUCGCGGGGAAUCAGGACUGUUACUUUGAAAAAAUUAGAGUGUUUAAAGCAGGCUCGCGCUUGAAUACAUUAGCAUGGAAUAAUGAAAUAGGGCGUUUGAUUCUAUUUUGUUGGUUUCUAGGAUCGACGUAAUGAUUAAUAGGGAUAGUUGGGGGCAUUAGUAUUCAAUUGUCAGAGGUGAAAUUCUUGGAUUUAUUGAAGACUAACUACUGCGAAAGCAUUUGCCAAGGAUGUUUUCAUUAAUCAAGAACGAAAGUUAGGGGAUCGAAGACGAUCAGAUACCGUCGUAGUCUUAACCAUAAACUAUGCCGACUAGGGAUCGGAUGAUGUUAAUUUUUUAAUGACUCA
rnacentral:rRNA from 1 species